CGCGAAUGGCUCAUUACAACAGCUGUUGUUUCUUGGAUCUUGAUUUACUUGGAUAACUGUGGUAAUUCUAGAGCUAAUACAUGCAACCAAGCUCCGACCUUUGGGAAGGAAUGCACUUAUUAGACCAAGACCAAUCAGACUUUAUCUGGAAUCUGGUGACCCUGAAUAACUUUGCUGAUCACACAGUCCUAGCACUGGUGACAUAUCUUUCAAGUGUCUGCCCUAUCAACUUACGAUGGUAUGUUAUAUGCCUACCAUGGUAGUAACGGGUAACGGAGAAUAAGGGUUCGACUCCGGAGAGGGAGCCUGAGAAAUGGCUACCACAUCCAAGGAAGGCAGCAGGCGCGCAAAUUACCCACUCUUGGUUCAAGGAGGUAGUGACGAAAAAUAACGAGAUAGUUCUCUAUGAGGCCCAUCAUCGGAAUGGAUACAAUUUAAACCCUUUAAUGAGGAUCGAUUGGAGGGCAAGUCUGGUGCCAGCAGCCGCGAUAAUUCCAGCUCCAAUAGCGUAUGCCAUCGAUAUUGCUGUUAAAAUGCCCGUAGUUUGACUAUCUCCGAAGACGGAGAGCAUUCCUGUAAUGUCUACUCUGCUCUGAGGAUGCUUUUAGCUGGUUUUCUCAUGGUGCUCUUUACCGGGUGUCAUGGGUGGCUAGCACAUUUACUUUGAAAAAAUUAGAGUGCUCAAAACAGGCGUUACUGCCCGAAUGGUGGUGCAUGGAAUAAUAAAAUAGAAUCUCGGUUCUAUUUUGUUGGUUUUAGGGGCGCGAGAUAAUGAUUAAAAGGGACGGACGGGGGCAUUUGUAUUGUGGCGUUAGAGGUGAAAUUCUUGGAUCGCUGCAAGACGAACAACUGCGAAAGCAUUUGCCAAGAAUGUUUUCAUUAAUCAAGGACGAAAGUUAGAGGUUCGAAGGCGAUCAGAUACCGCCC
rnacentral:rRNA from 1 species